GUGCCUAUAGCGCAGAUGGUCACGCACUACACAGGGGGUGUAGUGGUCUGAGUUCGCUUCUCUGUGGGCGCACCA
rnacentral:tRNA from 1 species